GAAAGCGAGUCUGAAUAGGGCGUUUAGUAUUUGGUCGUAGACCCGAAACCAGGUGAUCUACCCUUGGUCAGGUUGAAGUUCAGGUAACACUGAAUGGAGGACCGAACCGACUUACGUUGAAAAGUGAGCGGAUGAACUGAGGGUAGCGGAGAAAUUCCAAUCGAACCUGGAGAUAGCUGGUUCUCUCCGAAAUAGCUUUAGGGCUAGCCUCAAGUGAUGAUUAUUGGAGGUAGAGCACUGUUUGGACGAGGGGCCCCUCUCGGGUUACCGAAUUCAGACAAACUCCGAAUGCCAAUUAAUUUAACUUGGGAGUCAGAACAUGGGUGAUAAGGUCCGUGUUCGAAAGGGAAACAGCCCAGACCACCAGCUAAGGUCCCAAAAUAUAUGUUAAGUGGAAAAGGAUGUGGCGUUGCCCAGACAACUAGGAUGUUGGCUUAGAAGCAGCCAUCAUUUAAAGAGUGCGUAAUAGCUCACUAGUCGAGUGACACUGCGCCGAAAAUGUACCGGGGCUAAACAUAUUACCGAAGCUGUGGAUUGUCCUUUGGACAAUGGUAGGAGAGCGUUCUAAGGGCGUUGAAGCAUGAUCGUAAGGACAUGUGGAGCGCUUAGAAGUGAGAAUGCCGGUGUGAGUAGCGAAAGACGGGUGAGAAUCCCGUCCACCGAUUGACUAAGGUUUCCAGAGGAAGGCUCGUCCGCUCUGGGUUAGUCGGGUCCUAAGCUGAGGCCGACAGGCGUAGGCGAUGGAUAACAGGUUGAUAUUCCUGUACCACCUAUAAUCGUUUUAAUCGAUGGGGGGACGCAGUAGGAUAGGCGAAGCGUGCGAUUGGAUUGCACGUCUAAGCAGUAAGGCUGAGUAUUAGGCAAAUCCGGUACUCGUUAAGGCUGAGC
rnacentral:rRNA from 1 species